CGCCCCUUCGCCCCCGCGGUGACGCGCCGCCGAGCCGUGGGAAGGCGCUGGGCGGUCGCCGCCUUCACCGACGGCUGGGAGGUCCGGCCGUGCUCCGCUGUCUCGGCUGCCGCGCGCUGGGUGGCCUUGGGCAGGUGCCCUGGGAGGCCCGGCGGGGAAGCCAGGAGUCCCCGUCUGUCCCUGGGUCACCUGGGCGCUGCUGGCCUGUAGAGGCGCCGCUUUGAUGCCUGGGAUUCCGCAAGGGUCAACCCCGCGCGCUCCUGCCUCCUGGUGUUCUGGAGGCAGCAGACACAUCAAGUUUGUCGAGGUUUUUAAAAAUGUGACUACUAGAAAAUGUUAAACUGCUUAUUCAGCUCCCAUGAUGUUCCUAUUGGAUGGUACUAAUCUGGUGCAGGAUUUCUUAACCUCGAGACUACUGGCAUUUUGGGCCAGAUCAUUCUGUAUUGUGCAGGGCUGUUCUGUGGAUUGUAGAAUGGGGUCAGGAGAUCCUCUCUGAGGAUGAAUCAUUAUGCAAAGACCCGAAUGGAGAGAGGGAAUCUGAGAAGAUCUGAGGGAAGAGGAUUCCAGGCAGAAGGAACAGCAAGUGGAAAGCCCUGAGCUCCAAGCCACAGUCACAUCUGGAUCACAUCAUGGGGCUUUUAUUCCCAAAUCCAGUCCAAGACCAUGUCAGAAAGCAGAGGAUUCAUUUAUGGCACCAGAGGCUGGGGCUGAUAUCCAAGGCCUAGGAAGGAGGGGGUGUUGGGAUGCCGCCCUUCCCCGACCCCUGCCUUUCCCUCGUCUUGGACAUGGGCCACUGGUUAUAAAACAGGGCAAAUAGCCCUGGGACCACUGGCCUUACGGACAUUAUAAAAAUUUUACCAUGAGACUAAGACAUCUCAGAACAGUUUUGAUGAUGUCCCCAAGUAGGUGACUCCAAGGCCUCUGAAGGAAUGUUGGACAGGAGGUGUGAGGAAGGAAGUAGAUGAAGAAUCGUAUUUCUCUCCAUCCCUGGUGACUGGGUGGGGACAGGUGGGAAACUGAGGGGACUUCAGUUUGGAGAAUCCAGGAGAAACAUUCAAGUCUAGUCUUACCACGGGGCAGAAGAACGGUUAACAUAAUGUUGGGGGCCCCAGGUGUACCAGACUGAUGGAGGUAUAAUAAUAUGUGGUAGCCAACCGCCAAGAUGGCCCCUAAUCAUCUCCACUUCCUGAUAUUCACCUCCUUGGGUAGUCCCCUCUCACCUUCUAACAGGGUUUGUCUGUGUGACCAAUGGAAUAUGCUAGAAGUGAUGACAUGUCACUUCCAAGGCUAGGUCAUAAAAGAUGGUCUGGCUUUUGCCUUGCUCUCUCUUGGAUUACUCACUCUCAGGGAAGCCAACAGCCAUGUCAUGAGGACACUCAGGUAACAUUGUGGCGAGGAACUCUGGUGAUCUGCCAACAGCCAUGUGAGUGAGCCAUCUUGGAGGCAGCUCCUCCAGCCCUAGGCAAGCCUUCCAUUGACUGCAGCUCCACCUGGCAGCUUGACUACAACCUCACAAGAGGCUCUGAAUAAGAACCACCCAGCAAAGCCACUCUUGGAUUCCUGCUGUGCAGACACUUUGAGGGGCAGGAAGAUCCUGGAGUGUAGGAAGACCCUGGGGUGCAGGAAUAAGAAUGAUGUGAGGGUUGGAGUCUGAGUUAUCCCCUUCUUCCUUCAUCUCACAUCCUGUCUUGUCUUUUCUUCCCCCACUCCAUCCCCACCCUUGGUGGUUCCAGAUGGGAACACCGAGUCCAUGUGAGGAGCCCUGUUGGGGGAAGCUUGCCUUCUGAUGGUCUCAGGCUGCUCUCCAUUGCGGAAUCUCCCCUCAGGGUGGUCUUCAUGUGGUGGAACAGAUUCUACAGAAAGACCCCAGCUCUAAUGGAUAAAUCGGGUCCCAGGCCUGUUCAUUACCCACAUCACCAUUAGCAUUUCAUGAGGGGCCAUAUGCCAGUUUGUGAAUACAAUUAUGGGGAAAAAACAAGACAAUGUAAGUUAAUUAAAACCCUCUCCAUUUAUUUGAAUGGCUUUUAAGAAGCAGAAGCACAUGUGGUAAAAUUAAGAUAUAGGACAUGCAUGAGAAGUGACAGGGACCCACACUGACAAGCACUCAGCACCCUUUAUCAUGUGACCAGGUAAAUGCUACAAAGAGCCAGACAGCUCUGGAUCGAUGGGGUGUGCUACUAGCAGGCCAAAGAGGGCAAAGCUGGGACAAGUACAAGCAGUCUUAUCCCCAGACAAGGGGAGUGACAAAGAUGAAGAAACACAUGCUCUAACCAUUUACGGAGGCACUUAGGUUUAUCAUAACAAACAACCUGGAGAGGUUGGGUGAUGAGGAAGACUGAGGCAGCAAAUGCUAUCAAAGCAAAGGGCUUCUGACAGGUAGAUACAAGCAACACUAUGCGUACAGUUUCAUUUUUCAUCGUGUUCUAUAUUGGAGGUUACUGACAUGCUCUCAAGUAGAAACCAGAAGUUAAGUAUAUAUGCGCUAUUACUUUAAUAAAGAAGUUUGUAGGCCAGGUGUGGUGGCUCACGCCUGUGAUCCCAGCACUUUGGGAGGCAGAGGCUGGCCGAUCACCUGAGGUCAG